CUGGGCGACAAGAGUGAGACUCCAUCUCAGGAAAAAAAAAAGAAAAAAAGAAAAAAAAAGAAAAUAUUUGGGCUAGAAUUAGGGUGGAAGGGAUCCUCAAGUUUGCCUAGACCAGCCUCUUAUCAGAGACUUUUUUAAAGCCAGUGUUUUAUUGCUAUAUAAUUAAAUGUAAUAAAAUACACUCUUUAAGUGUGCAUUUUGAUGAAUUUUGACAAAUUUAUUCAUACUUGUAAUCAUCACAAUAACAUUUCCAUCACCCAGAAGGUUCCUAGGGCCUCUUUCCAGUCAGCCCCGUCCCAACCCCCAGCCCUACUGAUCUGAUCUUUGUUGUUAGGGCAUUUGUAUUUUCUAGUGUUUCAUAUAACUGAAACAGUAUGUGCUCUUGUGUCUGGCUUCUUUCCAUCGGUAUAAGUAAGUAGUGCCUGGAACAGAGGAAUGACUCAGGGUGUGGUGACUGGACUGGAUGGCACUUUCAAAGCACUGGACCUGUCCCACGAUGGGGCAGUGAGUUUCCCGUCCCUCUACCUAUAAGGUACCUAAAAGGUUUAGCCUUGCGUGUGGUAGAUGUGCUUUGAAGGGGGUUUAGGAGACAGUCUAGGAGAUGACCCUUAAGUAACCUGCCUACAAUCUCCUUUACACUCAGGUGAUCAGUGAAGUUUUUAGAAACCCUGUCUCUACUAAAAAUACAAAAUUAGCCGGGUGCAGUGGCGCAUGCCUGUAAUCCCAGCUACUUGGGAGGCUGAGGCAUAUAAUAAUCCAGCCAGGCACAGUAGCUCACGCCUGGAAUCCCAGCACUUUGGGAGGCCAAGGCAGGUGGAUCACUUGAGGCCAGGAGUUUGAGACCAGCACGGCCAACAUGGUGAAACCCCAUCUCUCCUAAAAAUAAAAAAAUUAGCUGAGUGUGGUGACAUGGGCCUGUAGUCCCAGCUACUUGGGAGGCUGAGGCAUAAGAGUUGCUUGGACCCGGGAACCAGAGGUUGCAGUGAGUUGAGAUCGUGCCACUGCACUCCAGCCUGGGUGAUAGAGCAAGACUCUGUCUCAUAAAUAAAUAAAAUAAAUAAAUGGUUUUGCAUAUAAUAAUUCAAUAACCCUUACAAUACCCCUGUGAGGAAGAGACAGGUACUACUAUUAUCUCAGUUUAACUUAUGGGAACAAACUGAGGCCAAGAAGUGUUAAGUAACUUGUCCAAGGGUUACUCAGUUUGCAAAUGGUAAAGUCAAGAUGUGAACCCAAAAUUUACAUUUUUGUUUUCCUUUGAAAGUCUACCAUGAACAGGACUUCUCAAUUUCUGUGUCCCAGAUCAGUGCUUCUGGAAGCAGAGGACAGGAACCAUGAAACCUUCACCAGAAUGCGCAGGCAAGCCAGCUUCCGGGCUCUAGGCACUCCUUGUUCCCAGAGCCACUGGACUAACCCAAGCCACCUAGAUACUUCUUCCUUGACUGUGGUUCUUUUUUCUUUUCCCUUAGUAGCUUAGUAGAGCAAAAAGGAAUGUUAGGAAAUACAACAUAAAUACAAAGUCUUGGUGACUUCUAAAACGCCAUCUUUAUUCCUGCACCUAGAUGAUGACAGAUUACAAACGCAUAUUUCUACUCUUUAAUUACUAGACCAGUUCCAAUACUACACAAUAGGCAGUCUCCCUAAAAGACAAUAAAAGUUUCAAAGCAAAAAGAGGAUUUUAAAGAAUUCAACUAAAAAAUCCCAUGUUCUUCAAUGGUUAGUGUGUAAAAGAAUUCCCAUAAGAAAAGUAGUACAUUUCUUUCUAUCUCUGAUAAAUGAAGCCCCUUCUGUUUCAGGUUAUAAUGAGCUAUUUUACUCCAAAAGAACAAUUCUCUAUUAUGGAACACUUCUAAGGUGAUAUGGUUCCUGAAACAACAGUGUGUAUAGCAACAGCACUUUCAUGGACUUAACACAAAAAUGUAAACUUUGAAAAACAGGAGGUCACUAUUCAUACUGAGAAAUAGCAGACAAAUGACUGCAGCAUUCCUUAAAAGACAAUCCCCUUCAACCCUGCUAGUGAGUUUAAACAUGAUUACAUUUAUAAAAUUUGAUUUAGUUACAAAAUGUCAAGAGCAUGUCCAGUAUGUUAAAUAAGCCAUAGUUAGUUUAAAUUUUUUUUUUUUUUUUUUUGAGAUGGAGUCUCGCUCUGUCGCCCAGGCUGCAGUGCAGUGGUGUGAUCUCUGCUCACCACAAGCUCUGCCUCCCAGGUUCGCACCAUUCUCCUGCCUCAGCCUCCCGAGUAGCUGGGACCACAGGCGCCCGCCACCACGCCUGGCUAAUUUUUUGUAUUUUUAGUAGAGACGGGGUUUCAUCGUGUUAGCCAGGAUGGUCUCCAUCUCCUGAGCUCGUGAUCCGCCCACCUCGGCCUCCCAAAGUGCUGGGAUUACAGGCGUGAGCCACCGCGCCCGGCCAGUUAGUUUAAAUUUUAAAGCAAACAUCCAUAAAUGUCCAACUAUUAUCUAUGUAACUGAUAUUCUCAAAAUGCUUUUACCACAUAUCAUUACAAUCAUCUUCACAACAGUUCUACAGGUGCGAGCCACAGCAUCUGGCUCAUAGGUGAGAUCUUCAUUGGGUUAAGUGGCUGUUUGGAUUACAAAACAGGGCACUGUGUAUGACAGUGAAAUUUGUUUUACACUCAUACUAACAAAUACGUGGCUCCAGUCCUCAUCAGAGAACCUUCUGUAUGAAAGGCUAACAUUUCACUCCAUAACAACUCAGAAAGUGUAAGUUGUGGAGAACCCCAGGGGUCAACUGAUCUAAUCUCAUGUGAUACAGGAACCCCCUGUAAAUCACUGCACAUCACAGAAUAUGGAUUUUAGAGUUGACAAAGCUGAACUCAAAUCCUCGUUCUGCCUCUUCUUAGCAAAUUACUUCAUGUCUGCAAUGAUGGUUGUAAAGCAUCGCAGGUGCCCUCACUGCUAUGGUCCAUCUGCUUCCCUUUCCAGAUUUUUCACCAUCCUGCCUGUGCUCCUGAAUACACACUCAAGCUAGAAACACAGAGCCCCGAACUUAGGACAGUGAUCUGGCCGGCCACUGCCUAGCAAGACUAUCAUCUCAGGAAACCCAGACCAUGAAGGCGAGUACCUUCUAAGAGCCAGCACUGCAGCUGAUCACCAAAUUGGCUAGCUUUUGUGCCUUUUGCACUUGCUUUAGUGCCAACAGGAUAAAACUGUCAAGGACAAAAUCUAAAUGUUUAUUUACGUGGGGAUGAGUCAGGAAGUAGACUUUAUUUUACUGGGCUCAGGGCCAACAACCUCAUUCAGUGGCCUCCAAAACUAAACACUUUGUUGAGGGAGAAGAGAAAUCGCUCCACAAGAGAUAUAGAAAGGACUGGAAUCUCCGCUUACAGAGCUGUGGACUGCCCAGAACUUACAGCAGGGUCAGCAAAUUUUUUCUGUAAAAGGUAAAAUAGUAACUUUAUGGUCUCUGUGGCAACUACUCAGCUCUGUGAUUGUAGCAUGAAAGCAACUAUAGACAAUACCUAAACAAAUGAGCGUGGCUGUGCUUCAAUCAGAUCUUACAUACAAAAGCAGGCAACAGGCCAGCUUUGGUCCACAGGCUGUAGUCUGGUGACUCCUAGUUUAGAGUACUGUUACUGGCACAUCACAGGCACACAAUAAACAUCAAGUAUAUGAUUCAAUGUACAGUGGCAAGAGAACAAACUGUCAUGCUAAAAUCAUUUCAACCUUAAAAAUAAUUCAGCUUUCCCUAUCUUUUAUUGUUACUGAUUACAGUGAUGGUAUUCAGGUGAACACUCUGCCAUUUAGAAUAUCAUUUAGCCUUAGCCUGUGCAGCUAAUGCAGCUUCUUCACACCACACAGCCAUCUUUGACAUAUUUCAACUUGUUAAUGAUUCAUGUUCGCAGCCCUUUUGGCUGAUGCUAUCACUGCAAAGCAGUGAUAUGUGUGAGUCCAUUCAUUACGGUAACAAGCUUUCCCUCAAGCUUUGUUUCUUGCAAUAUCUAUCAUUUCUAGUGUGAUCUCCUCCACUGAUUUUUAAAAAUCCAGUCAACAGUAGGAUUUUCUUGUUGAACUGUGAAGGCCUGUGCUCGGUAGGGACUUUGUGAAUCAUCCCUGCUUGGGUCCCAGAGCUACUGGAGGGCCCAUCACUGGAGUGGCUGGUGAGACCCUCCAGGGCAUGAGAGUUGCUAUGGGCCUCUGUGUGGCUUCUAGAGGCUUCCCAGGGGCACAAAGACUAUGUGACCCAGGUGGAAGCUCGGGAGGCUCACGCUGGACACAUGCUGCACACUCUGGCUCCCCUGUGGCUGCAGCUGCACCCACCUACCCAGCAUUCUCCCCACGACCUGUCCAGCCCAAGCCCACGGCACUCCCAGGGGAGCCCAGGACACCCUCAACUUUUUAGUGGAUUACUAGAGUAUCAGACCACCCAUUUAUCUCUCAGUUCCUCACUCCCACCCCUGCACCCAGCAAGUCACCAAGUCCCCCAGGUGAGUAAACUGGAGCUAACAGCAGUUGGUACUUACGGCAUAUACUGGAUUUGGCUCACUCACACGUGGUAUUCCUAUCUUCAUCUACUGUAUCUUCCUGGACUACAUAAGCUGCAAAGUUAAAAACUGCAUUUCUCAGAUUCCCUUGAGCUAGGUUCCAGACGUGAUUUAUUAUCAGUCAAUCAAACACAUUCGCAUGAGUUUUGUAUAGGGAACAAUGUUAAGUCGGAAGAAAGGCAGAAUGCAAGACACGGUUCUGGAGCCAGCAGCUUUAUUGGUAGCAUCCUGACUCAAUAGGCAGCUUUCCUGAUAAUAGCAGGAACAUCAGCCUCCUUGGUGGCCCACUCAUUGUGUGGCUCUGGAAAUCAUUCCUGGAUAUUCCACCUAGUCUGUUUCUUUAGCUUUCCCAACAACUCUGUGAGCCAUGUAACAUUCUGUAAUAAAUUUCUUUCUGCUUAAAUUAGUUAAAAGCCUCUUUUGUUUUCUGCAAAUGAACCCUGAGCAAUAUAGUUGACUAAGAUCAAACAACUACAAGUCAUGCGUUGUUUAACGAUGGAGAUACAUUCUGAGACAUACACUGUUAUGUGAUUUUGUCUCACAAACAUCACAUAGAGUAUAUUUACACAAAUCCAAAUGGUAUAGCCUACUACACACCUAGGCUAUAUGGGAUAGUCUGUUGCUCCUAGGCUACAAAUCUGUAUAGCAUGUUACUGUACUAAAGACUGUAGGCAACUGUAACACUGGUUACAAUGGUAAAUAUUGGUAAAUAUGGUAAACAAUGGUAAAUAUCUGUAUAUCUAAACAUAAAAAAGGUACAGUAAAAAUAUAAUCAUGGGACCACCACAACGUUGUUAUUCAGUGCAUGACUGUAUUAGCUCAGACGUUAACCAAAAUGAGUCUGCCUUCAAAGCUCCAUUCACUCAAUCUCUAUACUACACCACUGCAGUUCUGGGAGGCUGUUCUCCCUCAGGUCUCCCAGCUCUUCUAAUGUCUGCUGAAGUUGGAAUUCUCUUCUGCACAUGGACUACGAAACUGACAUGCUCAGUUAUCAUUUCAUACUAGCUAAAGGAUCUUCUCCUUUGUGAAGCAUCCCUCACCACUACUACUGUGAUGGGUCGGGGCCUUUCAUCUGUUUUUCCACAGCAUCUAUGCUUCUCUUCACUGUAUCAUUUAUCAAAUUGAUGAUUUCUGCGUCCUGUAAUAAACAGUGAGUACCUUAAGAACAAAUGUCAUUUCUUAUUUCUCUCUACCCUCAGCAACUGGCUUAUUAGAAUAAACAAAUAGUUAAUGCUGCUAAGUGAAUGAAUGACCUAAUAUAAUGGGAAAACAUAACUUGGAGGAUGGUUCAGUUGGCCGGCUUUAUAACAUGUUAAGAUGCAAUAAUGGACAGGAAAGCAUGAACAAAGUACAAAGCGCUGUUAUCCACCAUCAUAAGUCUUUGUCUAUAUCCAUCUUGUCUACAUGGGCUCUCUAAGGGCAGAAUCCUAGCUAGCUGAUCUGUAUCUAGCACAGAGCUUGUUUCUUAGUGUAUGGAAUGAAAUCAUCCACUAAAAAUUAUUAGUUGAAUGUGGCUGGUGCCAAAUACUCUUCCGGGCAGAUCAAAAGAGAUCUCAACCAAGAUACAAAUGAUAUAAUAUAAUAUUUUUCUUUCUUUCUUUUUUGUUUUGAGAUGGAGUCUCACUCUGUUGCCCAGACUGGAGUGCAGUGGCAUGAUCUUGGCUCACUGCAAGCUCCGCCUCCCGAGUUCAAGCGACUCUUGUGCCUCAAUCUCCCAAGUAGCUGGGAUUACAGGCUACUAUUUUUAGUAGAGACGGGGUUUCACUCAGCGGGGCUGGUCUUGAACUCCUAGCCUCAAGUGAUCCUCCCGCCUCGGUCUCCCAAAGUGCUGGGAUUACAGGCAUGAGCCACUGCACCUGGACGAUAUAAUAUUUUUCUCUUUUAAGAGCAAACAAUAAAGAAUUUAAACUCAUUUGCUUUUAGCAAAAGCAGUACUGUUUGCUCUUAAAAGACAUAAUUUUUUAAUCUUUUAAGAGCAAACAAUACUGCUUUUGCUAAAAGCAAAUGAGUUUAAAUUCUUUUCAUAUCAUUCAGGCCAUUUUGAGGAAGGUCUGGCAGAGCCUUUUGGUUGUUCCCCAAUAUCUUUCUCCCAUUCUUCCUGAGUAUUAGAGUCAUCGCAUGUAAACCAGGCAUUAGUCACCCAGAAUAAAGACUGCAUGUCCUCGCUCCUUGAAGUGAGAGAUGGCCAUGUGACUUAAGUUCUAGUCAAUGGAAUGCAAGUAAAAUUAGAGUGUACAACUUUUGGGAAGUGUCUUUAAACAAACCACAGGGUGGAGAUGAUACCUUUCUCUUCCCGUUUCCUUUUCCCCACAGGAUGGAAUACAGGGGGGACAGUUAGAUUCUGAAUUGUUAAGCAGAGCUGCUUGAUGCAGAAGAUGAAGACACAAGAAAGAAUGAGCCUAGGCCGGGCACAGUGGCUCACGCCUGUAAUUCCAGCACUUCGGGAGGCCGAGGCGGGAGGAUCACUUGAGCUCAGGAGUUUGAGACCGGCCUGGCCACCAUGGUGAAACCUCGACUCUACCAAAAAAAAAAAAAAAAAGCCAAAAUUAGCCGGGUGUGGUGGCAUAUGCCUGUGGUCCCAGCUACUUGGGAGGCUGAAGUGGGAGAAUCACUUGAGCCCAGGAGGCUGCAGUUGCAGUGAGCUGAUAUUAUGCCACUGCACUCCAGCCUGGGUGACAGGGUGAGACCCUGUC
rnacentral:lncRNA from 1 species